GGAAAACACAGCCCCGACAGCCGGUCUCCUCCUCCCCGCCCCCCGCUACCCCAGGCCCUCAGCUCUGACCUCACCUCUCUGGAGGCUGAGGGUGAUGAGAACAGUCUGUUUGGCAGGUCGUGGGGAAGGGAGGGGCAGAGCAGUGCACUCCAGCUGCAGCCAGGCCUCAGAGCAGCCUCAGUGGGCCCCACCCCCUGCAUACAUCUCUCCCACCCCAGGACCCUGGAGACCCUCCCGGCCCGGCUGACUGCGGCACCUCCUCAUCCCUCUUCAACCAGCUCCUGGAAGCCCUACCCGUUCUCCCCGCCUGGCCAGUCCUCCAGAACCAGAAGGACCUUGCUUUCAAAGACCAUAGGAGCCAAACCUCCCUUUGCCCAGGGAAGGACGGUGACCUUUUCAGGGCAUCCUGGCCAGCCUGCAGCGCCCCGGCAUCCAUUGGGACACAGCCUCUGGCCCCUCCCUGAGCAGCCUGUGGCCUGCCUGCCUCCCUAACAAGCCUGACAGCAAUUUGGGGGCAGGACCAAGCUGGCUCAUCACCACAUGUCUUGUGUCUGUGCAUUGAGCUAAUGAGAGGAAAUCAGCAAAAGCCACAGGUAACUAAAUACGGGGAGGGUGGCUCCCCAGUCCCGCCGUGGGCUCAGAGCCUUGACAACUUCGUGGGUCAGAA
rnacentral:lncRNA from 1 species